rnacentral:rRNA from 1 species
UACGGAGGGUGCGAGCGUUGUCCGGAAUCAUUGGGCGUAAAGGGCGCGUAGGUGGCCCGGUCAGUCUUUGGUGAAAGCCGCGGGGCUCAACCCUGCGUCGGCCAGGGAUACUGCCGCGGCUCGAGCACUGUAGAGGCAGGCGGAAUUCCGGGUGGUAGCGGUGGAAUGCGUAGAGAUCCGGAAGAACACCGGUGGCGAAGGCGGCCUGCUGGGCAGUUAGCUGACACUGAGGCGCGACAGCGUGGGGAGCAAACAGGAUA